AGAAUCAACGCUGGCGGCGUGCCUAACACAUGCAAGUCGCACGGGAAAGGGGCUUCGGUCCUGAGUAAAGUGGCGCACGGGUGAGUAACACGUGACUAAUCUACCCUCGAGUGGGGAAUAACCUAGGGAAACCUGGGCUAAUACCGCAUAACACUUACGAGUCAAAGCAGCAAUGCGCUUGGGGAGGAGGUCGCGGCAGAUUAGCUAGUUGGUAGGGUAAUGGCCUACCAAGGCGAUGAUCUGUA
rnacentral:rRNA from 1 species